GGAAGGAUGGGUGAGUGGCUUAAACCAACAGUUUGCUAAACUGUGGUACGGGUUACCGUACCGGGGGUUCGAAUCCCCCUCCUUCCG
rnacentral:tRNA from 1 species